rnacentral:rRNA from 1 species
GAUGAACGCUGGCGGCGUGCUUAACACAUGCAAGUCGAACGGAGUUUAAGAAGGAAGCUUGCUUUCAUUUUAAACUUAGUGGCGGACGGGUGAGUAACGCGUGAGGAACCUGCCCUUCAGUGGGGAACAACAACUAUAAAUGGUUGCUAAUACCGCAUAAUGUCGGAGAGCCGCAUGACAUUCCGACCAAAGGAUUUAUUCGCUGAAGGAUGGCCUCGCGUCCGAUUAUAUAGUUGGUGAGGUAACGGCCCACCAAGUCUGCGAUCGGUAGCCGAACUGAGAGGUUGAUCGGCCACAUUGGGACUGAGACACGGCCCAGACUCCUACGGGAGGCAGCAGUGGGGAAUAUUGGGCAUUGGGCGAUAGCCUGACCCACCAACGCCGCGUGAACGAUGACGGUCUUCGGAUUGUUAACUUCUUUAUUGGGGGAAGACCAAAAUGACCUACCCAAAGAAUAAGUCACGGCUAAGUACGAGCCACCAACCGGCGGUAAUACGUAGGUGACGAGCAUUAUACGGAUUAUCUGAGAUACAGCGCGUCUAGUCGGUAUAGCAAGUCAGAAGUGUAAUUCAUGUGUUCAACUAGGUCGCUGAUAUUGAUACUUCGGGAUUAGAUUCAUGGAUGGGAUAGCUGGAAUACUAGCGAUGCAUAUAAAUUAGGAUACAAUAUGUAUACCCCGACAGGUGUAAUAGCGGAUUGAUUCAUGUUUUCGUGCAUGUCAGGAUAGACAAUCAGGCCGAUGAUGAGGCAAUGGCCUUGGAUGAAGCUUUUUGUACUGCUAUGGAGUUAUAUUUUAGCCGCCGGCCCGGUCGUUAAACUAAUGACAUCUUUGCUUCGUUCGUACGUCAAGCUAUCUACGAAGAUAUUAACCCGG